rnacentral:rRNA from 1 species
UACGAAGGGGGCUAGCGUUGUUCGGAAUUACUGGGCGUAAAGGGCGCGUAGGCGGCCCUGUAAGUCGGGGGUGAAAGCCCGAGGCUCAACCUCGGAACUGCCUUCGAUACUGCGGGUCUCGAGUCCGGGAGAGGUGAGUGGAAUUCCUAGUGUAGAGGUGAAAUUCGUAGAUAUUAGGAAGAACACCAGUGGCGAAGGCGGCUCACUGGCCCGGUACUGACGCUGAGGCGCGAAAGCGUGGGGAGCAAACAGG